GGAGGGGUGGCCGAGUGGUUGAAGGCGACGGUCUCGAACACCGUUUGGGCGCAAGUCCUCGCAGGUUCGAAUCCUGUCCCCUCCG
rnacentral:tRNA from 3 species